AUUUGUCUCCUUCACAGAUCGUGAGGAAGAUGAUGUCACCAGUCAAACUCUCUCCAGCACCUCAGCUCUCCUUACCUCCACGCUCCAAACCCCGGCAGCUUUUCCCUGCUGAGUCUGCUGAGAUCGGUGAUGAGGAGAUGGUUUCUGCUGCAGCGCAGUGUGAAGCUCAGCUCGAUACAGGUGUGG